GACGAACGCUGGCGGCGUGCUUAACACAUGCAAGUCGAACGGAAAGGCCCUGCUUUUGUGGGGUGCUCGAGUGGCGAACGGGUGAGUAACACGUGAGUAACCUGCCCUUGACUUUGGGAUAACUGCAGGAAACUGGGGCUAAUACCGGAUAGGAGCUCCCGCUGCAUGGUGGGGGUUGGAAAGUUUCGGCGGUUGGGGAUGGACUCGCGGCUUAUCAGCUUGUUGGUGGGGUAGUGGCUUACCAAGGCUUUGACGGGUAGCCGGCCUGAGAGGGUGACCGGCCACAUUGGGACUGAGAUACGGCCCAGACUCCUACGGGAGGCAGCAGUGGGGAAUAUUGCACAAUGGGCGGAAGCCUGAUGCAGCAACGCCGCGUGCGGGAUGACGGCCUUCGGGUUGUAAACCGCUUUCGCCUGUGACGAAGCGUGAGUGACGGUAAUGGGUAAAGAAGCACCGGCUAACUACGUG
rnacentral:rRNA from 1 species